GAGACAACCCUCUGGGGCAAGACUUGCUUCAGUGGGGCUUUGGUGCUCACUGAGUCUGCUCCCUGAGUGUGUCCCU
rfam:Myotis lucifugus cont2.49492, whole genome shotgun sequence.